GAUGAACGCUAGCGGAAGGCAUAAUACAUGCAAGUCGAACGGAUGUAGCAAUACAUUAGUGGCGCACGGGUGCGUAACGCGUAUGCAACCUACCUUCAUCAGGGGGAUAACUACCCGAAAGGGUGGCUAACACCGCAUAAUACUAUUGAGUGGCAUCACUUGAUAUUUAAAUCUGAGGAGGAUGAAGAUGGGCAUGCGUCUGAUUAGCUAGUUGGUGUGGUAACGGCGCACCAAGGCGACGAUCAGUAGGGGAACUGAGAGGUUGGUCCCCCACACUGGAACUGGGAUACGGGCCAGACUCCUACGGGAGGCAGCAGUAGGGAAUAUUGGUCAAUGGUGGGAACACUGAACCAGCCAUUCCGCGUGCAGGAAGAAGGGUCUCUGACUUGUAAACUGCUUUAGCAAGGGAAGAAAAAGCUCAUGCGUGAGAAAUUGACGGUACCUUGAGAAUAAGCACCGGCUAACUACGUGCCAGCAGCCGCAGUAAAAC
rnacentral:rRNA from 1 species